GUAGUCUCGCACAGAUGCAUAUCAAUAAGCGGAGGAAAAGAAACUAACAAGGAUUCCCCUAGUAACGGCGAGUGAAGCGGGAAGAGCUCAAAUUUGAAAUCUUAAAGGGUUUCCCUUUACGAAUUGUAGUUUAAAGAAGUGUUUUCUGUUGAGGUUUUGGUAAAAGUUCUUUGGAAUAGGACAUCAUAGAGGGUGAGAAUCCCGUAUUUGACCUUUACUUUCAACUUUGUGAUACACUUUCAAAGAGUCGGAUUGUUUGGGAAUGCAGUCCAAAAUGGGUGGUAAAUUUCAUCUAAAGCUAAAUAUUGGCGAGAGACCGAUAGCGAACAAGUACCGUGAGGGAAAGAUGAAAAGAACUUUGAAAAGAGAGUUAAACAGUACGUGAAAUUGUCAAAAGGGAAGCGUUUGACACCAGUGUUGUUUUUCUGAAAAUCAAUUAAAGAACUGUUUAUGCUAAGCUGUUUAGACUUUAUCAGCUAACUGUUUAGUUUUGAGCUUUUCUUUAAUGCACUUUUCAGUUAACAAGUCAACAUCAAUUUCUUUUGCUGUAAAAAAGCUUGAGGAAGGUGGCUUGAGAUUCGUCUUAAGUGUUUAUAGCCUCUUGCCUAUGCAGUCGGAGAGAUUGAGGUCUGCAGCGUAGAUCCUUCGGGGCUAAAUGCAUUUGUGCUAAGUUAUAGCAUUUUAUAGACAACUUGUUGACUAUGAUUUGUCUUGUAGCUUACUCGCUUAUGUUAUUUUACCUACGCUUAGGAUGUUGACGCGCGUGUGUGCGUG
rnacentral:rRNA from 1 species